rnacentral:piRNA from 1 species
GUGAGUGACAAUGGCAGCUUCAGGCGGCCCGUGA